UUGACUUUGUGCCGAGUAUGACACAGCUCUCACUUUGGUUAUACAAGGACCGGAUUGGCCCGAAGCAACGACCCUAGUACUCCAUAUUCCCGCAGUAACCCCCACAGGACUCCCCGGGGGACACGGUCUUGUCGGUUCGUUGUCUCUCCUUGUGUGAAGACGUCCUGCCUGUUUCCCAGCAUUUUAUUGUUCCUGGUAUUGGACUGCACCCCGGAUGACGGAGGACCUACUGACAUUGAUGACAUCAUCAUUGACAUUGACAUGGGAAUUUGUGUAUUUGGUUGUCUAACUGCACUCUUUGUGGGUUGUGAUAGCCUAUUUAUGUAAC